rnacentral:tRNA from 1 species
UUUCCUGUAGUUGAAUAACAACGGUGGUUUUUCAAGCCAUUGGUCCUGGUUAGAAUCCUGGUAGGAAUA